rnacentral:rRNA from 1 species
CAGUCGCCGCGGUAAUACGGAGGGUGCAAGCGUUAAUCGGAAUUACUGGGCGUAAAGCGCACGCAGGCGGUCUGUCAAGUCGGAUGUGAAAUCCCCGGGCUCAACCUGGGAACUGCAUUCGAAACUGGCAGGCUAGAGUCUUGUAGAGGGGGGUAGAAUUCCAGGUGUAGCGGUGAAAUGCGUAGAUAUAAGAAGGAACACCAGUGGCGAAGGCGACCACCUGGACUGAUACUGACACUGAGGUGCGAAAGCGUGGGGAGCAAACAGGAUUAGAUACCCGAGUAGUCCCUGUCUCUUAUAC